UACGUAGGGAGCAAGCGUUGUCCGGAAUCAUUGGGCGUAAAGCGCGCGUAGGUGGCUUCGUAAGUCCGUUGUGAAAGUCAAAGGCUCAACCUUUGAAUGCCGAUGGAUACUGCGGAGCUAGAGUACGGAAGAGGCGAGUGGAAUUCCUGGUGUAGCGGUGGAAUGCGCAGAUAUCAGGAGGAACACCGGUGGCGAAGGCGGGACUCUGGGCCGAUACUGACGCUGAGGAGCGAAAGCGUGGGGAGCAAACAGG
rnacentral:rRNA from 1 species